UACAGAGGGGGCUAGCGUUGUUCGGAAUUACUGGGCGUAAAGGGCGCGUAGGCGGCCCGCUAAGUCGAACGUGAAAUCCCCGGGCUUAACCUGGGAAUGGCAUUUGGGACUGCAAGGCUGGAGUUUGGCAGAGGAGACUGGAAUUCCCGGUGUAGCAGUGAAAUGCGUAGAUAUCGGGAGGAAUACCGAUGGCGAAGGCAGGUCUCUGGGCUAUAACUGACGCUCAUGCACGAAAGCGUGGGGAGCAAACAGG
rnacentral:rRNA from 1 species